CAGCCAGACUCCUACGGGAGGCAGCAGUGGGGAAUAUUGCACAGUGGGGGAAACCCUGAUGCAGCGACGCCGCGUGAGUGAAGAAGUAUUUCGGUAUGUAAAGCUCUAUCAGCAGGAAAGAAAAUGACGGUACCUGACUAAGAAGCCCCAGCUAACUACGUGCCAGCAGCCGCGGUAAUACGUAGGGGGCAAGCGUUAUCCGGAUUUACUGGGUGUAAAGGGGGCGCAGACGGCAGCGCAAGCCAGGAGUGAAAGCCCGGGGCCCAACCCCGGGACUGCUCUUGGAACUGCGCGGCUGGAGUGCAGGAGGGGCAGGCGGAAUUCCUGGUGUAGCGGUGAAAUGCGUAGAUAUCAGGAGGAACACCGGUGGCGAAGGCGGCCUGCUGGACUGCGACUGACGUUGAGGCCCGAAAGCGUGGGGAGCAAACAGGAUUAGAUACCCCUGUA
rnacentral:rRNA from 1 species